rnacentral:rRNA from 1 species
GCCAAUCCUAGCUCAAAACCUAAUCAAUAUUACUAUCAAACUAAUAUAUAUAUAUAUACUAAACCAUUUAUAAUUAUAAAAGUAUAGGCGAUAGAAAUUUACUCUGACGCUAUAGAUAUAGUACCGCAGGGGAAAGAUGAAAAAUUUAACCAAAGCACAAAACAGCAAGGACUUACCCCUAUACCUUCUGCAUAAUGAACUAACCAGAGACCACUUCGCAAAGAGAACUAAAGUCAAGUACCCCGAAGCCAGACGAGCUACCCAAAAACAGCUGAAAGAGCGCACCCGUCUAUGUAGCAAAAUAGUGGGAAGAUUUCUGGGUAGAGGUGAUACACCUACCGAGCCUGGGGAUAGCUGGUUAUCCAAGAUAGAAUCUUAGUUCAACCUUAAGUUUACCCACAGAACUAUUAAUCCCCCUGUAAACUUAAUUGUUAGUCUAAAGAGGGACAGCUCUUUAGACACUAGGAAAAAACCUUAUAUAGAGAGUAAAAGAAUUCUAAGCCCAUAGUUGGCUCAAAAGCAGCCAUCAAUUAAGAAAGCGUUCAAGCUCAACUCUUAAUACUAAAAAAAAAUCCUAAACAUAUUAUUGAACUCCUCACAUCACAUUGGAUUAAUCUAUUAACCCAUAGAAGCAAUAAUGCUAGUAUCAGUAACAUGAAUAAGUUCUCCCGUGCAUAAGCCUAAAUCAAACCAAAAAUCUUCACCGAUACUUAACAGUUUAAUACCAAUAACCACAAGCAAGCUAAUAUUAUAUAUACUGUUAACCCAACACAGGCAUGCCCUAAGGGAAAGGUUAAAAAAAGUAAAAGGAACUCGGCAAACUUAACCCCGCCUGUUUACCAAAAACAUCACCUCUAGCAUUACUAAUAUUAGAGGCACUGCCUGCCCAGUGACAUAUGUUCAACGGCCGCGGUACCCUGACCGUGCAAAGGUAGCAUAAUCACUUGUUCUUUAAAUAGGGACUUGUAUGAAUGGCAACACGAGGGUUCAACUGUCUCUUACUUUCAACCAGUGAAAUUGACCUGCCCGUGAAGAGGCGGGCAUAAAACAAUAAGACGAGAAGACCCUGUGGAGCUUCAAUUUACUAAUGCAACCAUAAUCAACACAAAUCCAAGGACCUAAUAUAUCUUGCCCCUGCAUUAGAAAUUUUGGUUGGGGUGACCUCGGAGCAUAAACAAACCUCCGAACAAACUAUGCUAAGACUAUACAAGUCAAAGCAACCUAAUACCCAUAAUUGAUCCAAUAACUUGACCAACGGAACAAGUUACCCCAGGGAUAACAGCGCAAUCCUAUUCCAGAGUUCAUAUCGACAAUAGGGUUUACGACCUCGAUGUUGGAUCAGGACAUCCUAAUGGUGCAGCAGCUAUCAAGGGUUCGUUUGUUCAACGAUUAAAGUCCUACGUGAUCUGAGUUCAGACCGGAGCAAUCCAGGUCGGUUUCUAUCUAUUCUACAUUUCUCCCUGUACGAAAGGACAAGAGAAAUAGGGCUCACUUCACAAAGCGCCCUCCUUCCAUAAAUGACCUAGUCUCAAUUUAACAAAAACCACACAUAUAUAUCCCAAGAACAGGGAUU